rnacentral:tRNA from 1 species
GCACCUAUGGCAGAGUGGUCGAUUGCAGUGUACUCAUAAUACACAUCCAUUUAGGACGCGUUGGUUCAAACCCAACUGGGUGCA